UCGAGAAUAAUUCGCAAUGGACGAAAGUCUGACGAUGCGACGCCGCGUGAACGAUGAAGGCCUUCGGGUUGUAACGUUCUGUUGCCUUGGAACAAGAGUUAUUGCUUAAUACGCAAUAACAAUGAGCGUACAAGGAGAGGAAGCACCAGCUAAUUCCGUGCCAGCAGCUGCGGUAAUACGGAAGGUGCAAGCGUUAGUCGGAAUUAUUGGGCGUAAAGGGUGCGUAGGCGGUUUUAUAAGUCGGUUGUGAAAUUCCGGGGCUUAACCUCGGAGCUGCAUUCGAUACUGUAAAACUAGAGGGAAGGCGGAGAAAAUGGAAUUCCAUAUGUAGCGGUGAAAUGCGUAGAUAUAUGGAAGAACACCUGUGGCGAAAGCGGUUUUCUAGCUUUUUCCUGACGCUGAGGCACGAAAGCAAGGGGAGCAAACA
rnacentral:rRNA from 1 species